rnacentral:rRNA from 1 species
UACGUAGGGGGCAAGCGUUGUCCGGAUUUAUUGGGCGUAAAGAGCGUGUAGGCGGCCAGACAGGUCAGCUGUGAAAACUCGAGGCUCAACCUCGAGACGUCGGUUGAAACCGUCUGGCUAGAGUCCGGAAGAGGAGAGUGGAAUUCCUGGUGUAGCGGUGAAAUGCGCAGAUAUCAGGAAGAACACCCGUGGCGAAGGCGGCUCUCUGGUACGUGACUGACGCUGAGACGCGAAAGCGUGGGGGAGCAAACAGG